UGUGUGUCUCCUCUCUGCUCUGACUGCAGGCUGGGACUGCUGCGCGAGGCUACUGAGAGACUGACCGCCUAUUUUCUUUUCUUUCAGAAAUUUUUUCCUCCCUCCCAUCAUGCCUACUUGAGCCCCCCCCGGGAGAAUGUCCGCGCCCCCCCAGUGCGGGCCCCACCAGUUGAGAACCACUGCUCCAAGGAGGUCACUGCUGGGCUGAGGAUGGACGGACCUCUCUGCUAACCAUCUGUUUCCCUCCACAGGUUCCACCUUUGCCUUGGUCUCUGGACAUGUUGUUUUAGUUGAUAGUUAUUAUUUCUUGCACAUUACAACACCCUCACACACAUUUUCCAUGCAUCCAUCAUCCUGACCUGACUGAAACCACCGAUGUUCAUACCCCAUGCUUGUUCACCUUUAC